rnacentral:rRNA from 1 species
GACGAACGCUGGCGGCGUGCCUAACACAUGCAAGUUGAGCGACGAACCAGGGCUUGCCCUGGGGCAAAGCAGCGAACGGGUGAGUAACACGUGGGUAACCUACCCCGAUAACCGGGACAACCCGAGGAAACUCGGGCUAAUACCGGAUGUGCUCACUGGACUUCGGUUCAGUGCGUAAAGGAAGCUUCGGCCUCCGUAUCGGGAGGGGCCCGCGGCCCAUUAGUUUGUUGGUGGGGUAACGGCUCACCAAGACCGCGAUGGGUAGCUGGUCUGAGAGGACGAUCAGCCACACUGGGACUGAGACACGGCCCAGACUCCUACGGGAGGCAGCAGUGGGGAAUCUUGCGCAAUGCGCGAAAGCGUGACGCAGCAACGCCGCGUGGGGGAAGAAGGCCUUCGGGUUGUAAACCCCUUUCAGGAGGGACGAAGGUUCGGCGGUGAAUAGCCGUCCGGACUGACGGUACCUCCACAAGAAGCCCCGGCUAACUACGUG